UAGGUGCAUUGCUUUGGCGCGAUGCUGCUCCUUGAUUUUCGCUGCUGGCUUGUCUCGGGUUUCUGUUUCCACCCCUCCAGGUGGGUUCAUUGUCCACUAUCUCCCAAGAUUAUUCCCCGCUGCCAUCGCUGCCAGUUGGUGAGCUAAUUUGUUGCCAUCCCUUGGAGUCCAGGUAGCUCCCACAUCUGGAGCCUCUUCCAGCAGUUG